rnacentral:rRNA from 1 species
AUACGUAGGGUGCGAGCGUUGUCCGGAAUUAUUGGGCGUAAAGAGCUCGUAGGCGGCGUGUCGCGUCGGAUGUGAAAGCUCGGGGCUUAACCCUGGGUCUGCAUUCGAUACGGGCAGGCUGGAGUUCGGUAGGGGAGAUCGGAAUUCCUGGUGUAGCGGUGAAAUGCGCAGAUAUCAGGAGGAACACCGGUGGCGAAGGCGGAUCUCUGGGCCGAUACUGACGCUGAGGAGCGAAAGCAUGGGGAGCGAACAGGA